rnacentral:rRNA from 1 species
GUAAGGAAUAUUGGACAAUGCCCGCAAGGGUGAUCCAGCCAUGCCGCGUGCAGGAAGACGGCCCUAUGGGUUGUAAACUGCUUUUGAACAAGAGAAAACCCCUUUACGUGUAAAGGGCUGAUAGUAUUGUUAGAAUAAGCAUCGGCUAACUUCGUGCCAGCAGCCGCGGUAAGACGAAGGAUGCAAGCGUUAUCCGGAUUCAUUGGGUUUAAAGGGUGCGUAGGCGGCCAGAUAAGUCAGUGGUGAAAUCCUGUUGCUUAACAACAGAACUGCCAUUGAUACUGUUUGGCUUGAGUAUAGUUGCUGUGGGCGGAAUAUGACAUGUAGUGGUGAAAUACAUAGAGAUGUCAUAGAACACCGAUUGCGAAGGCAGCUCACAAAACUAUAACUGACGCUGAGGCACGAAAGUGCGGGGAUCAAACAGGAUUAGAAACCCUAGUAGUCC